rnacentral:snRNA from 1 species
CACACUUCUCAGCCCGUGGCUAAGAUCAAGUGCAUCAUCUCUUCUUACCGCUUUAAUAUCUGAUACAUCUUCAGCUUGAAGAUUUUAUAUUAAAUGGAUUUGGAGGGCAGGGGAAGGAGUAUCAGCUUGCUCCAUCCACUCCAUACGUCAACCCGAAACCGCAGUGCUUCCAGGUCCUGUGGUGCAUGGAGA